CCUACGGGAGGCAGCAGUGAGGAAUCUUUCACAAUGGGCGAAAGCCUGAUGGAGCAACGCCGCGUGCAGGAUGAAGGCCUUCGGGUUGUAAACUGCUUUUAUAAGCGAGAAAUAUGAUGGUAACUUAUGAAUAAGGAUCGGCUAACUACGUGCCAGCAGCCGCGGUCAUACGUAGGAUCCGAGCAUUAUCCGGAGUGACUGGGUGUAAAGAGUUGCGUAGGUGGCAUAAUAAGUAGCUAGUGAAAUCUGGUGGCUCAACCAUUCAGACUAUUAGCUAAACUGUUAAGCUCGAGACCGUUAGGGGUAACUGGAAUUUCUAGUGUAGGAGUGAAAUCCGUAGAUAUUAGAAGGAACACCAAUAGCGUAGGCAGGUUGCUGGGACGGUUCUGACACUAAGGCACGAAAGCGUAGGGAGCAAACGGGAUUAGAUACCCCGGUAGUC
rnacentral:rRNA from 1 species